CAACCUCAACUCAUAUGGGACUACCCCCUGAAUUUAAGCAUAUUAAUUAGGGGAGGAAAAGAAACUAACAAGGAUUUUCUUAGUAGCGGCGAGCGAAAAGAAAUCAGUUCAGCACUAAGUCACUUUGUCUAUAUGGCAAAUGUGAGAUGCAGUGUAUGGAGCGUCAAUAUUCUAGUAUGAGAAAUUAACGAUUUAAGUCCUUCUUAAAUGAGGCCAUUUACCCAUAGAGGGUGCCAGGCCCGUAUAACGUUAAUGAUUACUAGAUGAUGUUUCCAAAGAGUCGUGUUGCUUGAUAGUGCAGCACUAAGUGGGUGGUAAACUCCAUCUAAAACUAAAUAUAACCAUGAGACCGAUAGUAAACAAGUACCGUGAGGGAAAGUUGAAAAGAACUCUGAAUAGAGAGUUAAAUAGUACGUGAAACUGCUUAGAGGUUAAGCCCGAUGAACCUGAAUAUCCGUUAUGGAAAAUUCAUCAUUAAAGUUAUAAUAUUUAAACAAUAUUAUACAAAUAAUGUGCAUUUUUUCCAUAUAAGGACAUUGUAAUCUAUUAACAUAUUAAAUUUAUCAUAAAAUAUGGCUUAUAGUUUAUUCAAAUUAUUAUGCUUGCAUUUUAACAUAGAAUAAAUGUCAUUAAUUUGAUAAAGUGUUGAUAGACUAAUAAGAAUACAGUGCGUUAAUUUUUCGGAAAUAUAUAAUGGCAUAAUUAUCAUUGAUUUUUGUGUUUAUUAUAAGCACCUGUAUGAUUAACAAUGCGAAAGAUUCAGGAUACCUUCGGGACCCCGUCUGAAACACGGACCAAGGAGUCUACAUAUGUGCAAGUUAUUGGGAAAUAAAACCAAAAACCAAAUUUAAUUUGACAAAUAAUGGGGAUUAGUUUUUUUAACUUUUUUUUUAACUAUUUAAAAAAAACCCCGGGGGGGGUUUCCAUUAAAUUUUUUUAAAAAAAAAAUUUUAAUAAUUUUUAGCGCCCCAAAACGGGAAAAUCCCCUUUGGAGAAAAAAAUUUGGGGACCCCCCAAAAAGGGGGAAAAAA
rnacentral:ncRNA from 1 species